GACGAACGCUGGCGGCGUGCCUAACACAUGCAAGCCGAACGAGGUCCAAGGAAGCUUGCUUCCUGAAGACCUAGUGGCGAACGGGUGAGUAACACGUGAGAAACCUGCCUCGGAGUGGGGAAUAACUCGGGGAAACUCGAGCUAAUACCGCAUACCUUCACAUGAUCGCAUGGUCGAGUGAAGAAAGAAUUUCGCUCUGAGAGGGUCUCGCGGCCUAUCAGCUUGUUGGUGGGGUAACGGCCUACCAAGGCAACGACGGGUAGCUGGUUUGAGAGAACGAUCAGCCACACUGGGACUGAGACACGGCCCAGACUCCUACGGGAGGCAGCAGUGGGGAAUCUUGCGCAAUGGGCGAAAGCCUGACGCAGCAACGCCGCGUGCGGGAUGACGGCCUUCGUGGUUGUAAACCGCUUUCAGCAGGGACGAAAAUGACGGUACCUGCAGAAGAAGCCCCGGCUAACUACGUGCCAGCAGCCGCGGUAAU
rnacentral:rRNA from 1 species